CUCACACAGCUGAUGCAAGUUGCCAAGAAAGCCUUGAAAAACAACCAAUGUUCCUGUCAAGGACGCUUGAUACACCACAGCUUUCAGCAUCUACCAGAUCGACAUUUAAAGUCCCUAAUAGUGUGACUGUAAGGGUGGUAUGUGGAUAAACAUGAUGAAAAAUAACAGAAGAGGCAAAUGACCGGAUUGCCCUGAGAAAUUGCCCGUAUUUCUUGUGAUCUCUAUCCCUUGGAAUCCUGUUUUGGGUCUUCGGUCAGCCCCACAACAACGUCUACAUUUAAUGAGGAGGUUUUAUCUCUGUUCUCGAGCCCAUCACCGUCAUUUCACACACUCUAUUAUCAGCAAUGUCAACGUCACCAUCUCGCUCAUUUGCAUCAAUUCGUGCGUGCUCACUUUCCCACCCUGUCGGACGUUCCCGGGCACAACAAUAAUAACUGGGGUGCCUUUGACCCUUGGCCAGCCUCCACUCCUAGUUCUAGACGAGGUUCCAUCACCGAGACCCCGGAUUUUAGCCACAAACGUCAACGACACCGCUCUCAAGUCCAAGCCACCGAGCUUCAUCGUGAGUUCUGUCCCCGCAAACUGAACUUGAAAGGUUGCGAUGCCUUGAGUCGAGGUUUGGGCAGUAAGAGGAUUCGCAGGUGGAACAUGGACCCCAGUAUUGUGUGCAAGGAAGAGACCGUGGAGACCAGUUCCGGAGAGGAUGGGCAGAAAGAGGGCAAAAUCGACAAGUUGUUGAACAAGUACUGCGCGGUUUGCGGUGACAAGGCUUUGGGAUACAAUUUCAAUGCGUUGACGUGCGAAAGUUGCAAGGCGUUUUUUAGGCGAAACGCCCUUAAAAACAAGGAGUUCAAAUGCCCUUUUAGCAAUAAAUGUGAAGUGACAUUGGUCACGAGAAGGUUCUGUCAGAAAUGUCGCUUAAAGAAAUGUUUUGACAUUGGGAUGAAGAAGGAGUGGAUUCUAUCGGAUGAAGAGAAGCAGCAGAAAAGACAAAAGAUUGAACAGAAUCGGGCCAAGAAACGCCAAGAUGUCCCGGAUUUGUCCCCGGGGGCAUUCUUGGCCGCAGCCUCCCCAUCCACCUUGCCACAUAAUAGGGAUGUUGUCUCACCAGCGUCCACGAGUAUCUCAUUCCCUUUAGGGACCGAUUCCAUCGGACUCGAGAGGCCGCAAGCCCGGGUUUUACCUUCAUCAAGGCCACCCUCCGAAGACGAUAACCAGCCUCGGCAAAAACAAAUGCGAUACGAAAUCCCGGAUGAGAGCAAUACUCGAUUAGGACUGGCGGAUCCUUACUCAUCCAACGAUUCCUCAGAGCAAUGUGCUUUAAUCCGGCACGAGCUAACCUCCUCCAAUUCUCCCCCACAAAACUCAACCUUUAUCCCCACAAUCCAUGACCGAUCCCAAAUCAACAUGUUGAAUUUUGUGGUCCAACAGCCCCAACUCAGUGCUCAUAGUAGCUCCAAAGAUCUCCCGUUAGAUGCCACUGUAAAUCAGAGUUCUUUAACUAGGAUGUCACCCGAUUUAACGACUUUGCCCGAACAAGUGAAUCCGAUGAACUUGGAUGUCAAAAACGAACAAUCCCCCCAAUCCUAUCCGAGCACAAGUUGCGGGCAGAAUCCAUUUUCGCCCCAUAUGGGCGGCAUUCCCUUGGUUGGGGCCAUGACUGAAAUCAAAUCCAGCGAUUCGUCUCUUAGUUUCCCAGAUAUCACGAACACGAGUUUCGACAAUCUGGAUGAUAUCGUCACCGUGGCCAUUGAAGCCGAAUUUCACGUACAAAAUAUCCACUCCCCAAUGCAUUCGCUCACAGGAAAGUCACUGAACGAUCGAGAGACCGACCGUCUUCACGAGCUUUUCAUGGCAUCCCGAUCCUUGGUGGAACCAUUGGAUCUUGAGAAAAGUCCUUUUUCCAAUGCGGAUCCAAAGAACUUGAUAAGUGUAGUUAACCUCACGGAUUUGGCCAUCAAACGCAUCAUUCGUAUGGCCAAGAAGAUCAACCCGUUUAUCACCAUGUGUCAAGAGGAUCAAAUCGCUUUACUCAAAGGCGGCUGUACCGAGCUCAUGAUCCUUAGAUCCGUUAUCAAUUACAAUCCGGACAAAAACUCGUGGCGGAUUCCGUCCAAAGAUCGACCACGAGAGGUAAACAUGGAGCUGUUAAAGGAAGCCAGCCACUUAGGGGUCAAUUUGUACGAGGAGCACCAACGGUUCGUGAAAUCGUUCGAUCCCAAAUGGAGGACGGACGAGAAUGUGAUGCUUCUGCUUUCAGCCAUUGCACUUUUCAAUCCCGCGCGAACCAACGUCUUGCACAAAGAUGUGGUGAAACUUGAACAGGUAUUGUUUAGUCCAUACAAGUGUCGGAAACCGAUUUCCGAUGUCAAAUUGAGCCCAUAAACUUGGCGGCCAGCAUCCUCAGCCAGCUCGAGCUGAUUAUGUUGUCACGCGGCCAGCACCUGUCAAUUUAUGCUCCAGAAUCAUCAUGAUCAUCUGAAAUAUGCCCAUCGCCCCUCAAGAUAUUGAAGUUACUGGUUGAUGGUUGGGCUUUGAUCUCGGUGGCAGUGAUGAUGGCAUGUGGAGUCCUGAUGCAUUUCCUGAACAGAAGUUCUGCCCCCUCAGGGCUAAUUGCGGGUCAUCUCACCACCAAAAAAUGCUCCCUAGGAUGCAUAUUACUACCUCCUGCGGCGUUAUUUGGAAACCAUUUGCACUGGAUGUGAUGCUCGGCGCGCUUAUUUGCAUCUCAUUGGAAGACUGAAGGAUUUGAAUCGCUUGAACGAGUCCCAUAUACAAUUGUUCCUA